rnacentral:rRNA from 1 species
UACGAAGGGUGCAAGCGUUAAUCGGAAUUACUGGGCGUAAAGGGAGCGUAGGCGGCUUUUUAAGUCGGAUGUGAAAUCCCCGGGCUCAACCUGGGAAUGGCAUUCGAUACUGGAGAGCUAGAGUUUGGGAGAGGGUGAUGGAAUUCCCGGUGUAGCGGUGAAAUGCGUAGAGAUCGGGAGGAACAUCAGUGGCGAAGGCGGUCACCUGGCCUAAAACUGACGCUGAAGCUCGAAAGCGUGGGGAGCAAACAGG